AUAUGCUGAGAUUUUGAAGUAAAAACAUUCUCCCAAAGUUUAUUCAAGUACCAACCAUAUUUACUUCAUCUUCAAAACCUUCGAUUCUUCAUAUACUUCGUUAUAUACACAAGGUUUUAAACACCGAGGCUUCGUACCACCCAACCUUGCCACAUCUCGCUUAGCUCAUUUAUAUACCACUCUUUUCGUCCUCUCAAAGGGCUAUCCAAAGUUCGUGUGCAAAUCCAAAAUCCGGCCGAACCUCCGACGAAUUUUUCCGCCGAACUUUUUGUAAGUGGUUAUUUUAGCUUCAUUUUUAUUCGUGUCUUAACCGACCAUUUUUGAGAAAGGGCUUUUGCAUAAAGAUAUUCUCUUCAUCUUUAAAGCUCUCUUUGUUUACAAAACACACGAGUUAGCCACUCGUUAUAUAUUUGUGCGUGUGUUUUGUCGCAGAACCUAACUCGUAUUCUUUGAGAUUUCCUCACCAAAUUUGGAGGGAUCUUUGCCUUGGCACGGAAAGCCGGAUAUAAGGCCUAAGGUGAUAAGUUAGUUAUUGUUGUGCUUAGCUGUUAUAUCCCUACGCUCAACAUACUCUUUUUAUUUUGGUGAGACACCCAUUUUUCAGCCUUAUGUUUGGUGGGGAUAUCAUUAAGAUAAGUUAUGUGGUUUACGUGUUUUGUCCCCGAUCCCGUGUGUGUGAGUGUGAUUAUCGACUGCGUCAUAUAUCUAUAAAUCACUCAACACUAAUUAAUCAUAACCCCCGUAGAGUGCCCGUACGCGGUGUGCUCAGGUUAUUAAAAUCAAUCCUAAUUAAAUUCAACUAUUUAUAUUUUUCACGCGACAUAAAUUGUUGGACUCAUCACCAUUAGUGCUGUUAUAAUCAACAAACAUUUAUAAUUGAUUGUGAUUAGUGGAUUGAUAUUGCUGACCAAAAACCUUACUAAACCAAAGGACAUUUUCGUAGAUAUUGUAUUCUAACAUUUGCAGUGAGGUGAAGUGAAGUGAGGUGAUCUUCGUUCUAAGACCUAAGUCCUUGACGUAUUAACGGGGAUUUAAUAGUCAUUGCACCGUGAAGAAUAGGAAAGACCCAAGAUCUAAUAUCUAAGACCCGAGACCUGUAAAGGGUUUAGAAGUACAAAGACUACACAAGGUUCUACAUCGUCUUUGAGGAAGUAACAGGGAGUUACGUUCCGAGACAAGCAUUGUAGGUAUUUUACAUUUAUAGUGAGGAGGUAACAGGGAGUUACGCUCCAAGAUAUAUAUUUGUAAAGGCUUCUCCGCCUACUAUAAAGGAGUAUCUUUACAGUAGAGAAAAUCUCGAGUCCGAGGAGGAGCUCGGGGACUGGACUAGGGGUGAGUGGACUCCUAAGGUUGAGUUAGCCACCGCGAACCAGGAUAAAAUCCCUCUUGUGGUAUUUUUCUUUCUUUGCUUUUUGCUUCUGCAUUUACAACUGCCAUUACUCUAGAUACAAGCUUUUAAAAAGGGGAUAAACUUCUUAAAACACCAUAAAUAUUUUAAAUUGGUGAUUAAGCUAUUCAACCCCCCUUCUAGCUUAAUUAUCCUUACAUCAGGACCUAACAAUAUUAAUGAACUUCUUUCAGUGGUGUGCAGCAGCAUCCUGGAAUUCUUCUGACAUAUAAUUCCCAUAAGUCAUUUGACGUUCUUCGUACGGA
rnacentral:lncRNA from 1 species